UACGUAGGGUGCGAGCGUUUAAUCGGAAUUACUGGGCGUAAAGCGUGCGUAGACGGCUAUCUAAGUCGGGUGUGAAAGCCCCGGGCUCAACCUGGGAAUUGCAUUCGAGACUGAAUAGCUAGGGUGCGGUAGAGGGAAGCGGAAUUUCCGGUGUAGCGGUGAAAUGCGUAGAUAUCGGAAGGAACAUCAGUGGCGAAAGCGGCUUCCUGGACCAGCACCGACGUUCAGGCACGAAAGCGUGGGGAGCAAACAGG
rnacentral:rRNA from 1 species